AGAGUUUGAUCAUGGCUCAGAACGAACGCUGGCGGCGUGCCUAACACAUGCAAGUCUAACGAGAAAGUCCUCUUCGGAGGGCGAGUAAAGUGGCGAACGGGUGAGUAACACGUGGGCAAUCUGCCCUCGGGACCGGGAUAACUCUGCGAAAGCGGGGCUAAUACCGGAUAAGACCACGCUGUCCCCGGACAGUGCGGUAAAAGGUGGCCUCUUCUUGAAAGCUAUCACUUGGGGAUGGGCCCGCGGCCUAUUAGCUUGUUGGUGAGGUAACGGCUCACCAAGGCGACGAUGGGUAUCCGGCUCGAGAGGGUGAACGGACACACUGGCACUGAGACACGGGCCAGACUCCUACGGGAGGCAGCAGUGGGGAAUUUUGCGCAAUGGGGGAAACCCUGACGCAGCAACGCCGCGUGAGCGAUGAAGGUCUUCGGAUCGUAAAGCUCUUUUAGUGGGGAAGAAACAUCCUGGGGCUAAUACUCCCAGGACUUGACGGUACCCACAGAAAAAGUUCCGGCUAACUACGUGCCAGCAGCCGCGGUAAUACGUAGGGAGCAAGCGUUGUUCGGAAUCAUUGGGCGUAAAGAGCGCGUAGGUGGUUUGUUAAGUCUGGUGUGAAAGCCCACAGCUCAACUGUGGAACUGCAUCAGAAACUGGCAAACUUGAGUGUGGGAGAGGAGAGUGGAAUUCCCAGUGUAGAGGUGAAAUUCGUAGAUAUUGGGAGGAACACCGGUGGCGAAGGCGGCUCUCUGGACCACAACUGACACUGAGGCGCGAAAGCUAGGGGAGCGAACGGGAUUAGAUACCCCGGUAGUCCUAGCCGUAAACGAUGGGCACUAGGUGUGGGGGGUAUUGACCCCUUCCGUGCCGCAGCUAACGCAUUAAGUGCCCCGCCUGGGGAGUACGGUCGCAAGACUAAAACUCAAAGGAAUUGACGGGGGCCCGCACAAGCGGUGGAGCAUGUGGUUUAAUUCGACGCAACGCGAAGAACCUUACCUGGGUUUGACAUCCCUUGACAACAGCAGAGAUGCUGCUUUCCUUCGGGACAAGGAGACAGGUGCUGCAUGGCUGUCGUCAGCUCGUGUCGUGAGAUGUUGGGUUAAGUCCCGCAACGAGCGCAACCCAUGUCUUUAGUUGCCAUCAUUAAGUUGGGCACUCUAAAGAGACUGCCGGUGUCAAACCGGAGGAAGGUGGGGAUGACGUCAAGUCCUCAUGGCCUUUAUGACCAGGGCUACACACGUACUACAAUGGCAUAGACAAAGGGCAGCGACAUCGCGAGGUGAAGCGAAUCCCAUAAACUAUGUCCCAGUCCGGAUUGGAGUCUGCAACUCGACUCCAUGAAGUUGGAAUCGCUAGUAAUCGUAGAUCAGCAUGCUACGGUGAAUACGUUCCCGGGCCUUGUACACACCGCCCGUCACACCACGGGAGUUGGUUGUACCAGAAGCAGUUGAGCGAACUAUUCGUAGACGCAGGCUGCCAAGGUAUGAUUGGUAACUGGGGUGAAGUCGUAACAAGGUAACC
rnacentral:rRNA from 1 species